rnacentral:rRNA from 1 species
GCUAAUACCGCAUGUUGAGCCGACAUCAAUGUCGUCUCCAAAGCAGAAAUGCGCUAUGGGCGGGGCCUGCGUUCGAUUAGCUAGUUGGUGGGGUAAUGGCUCACCAAGGCGACGAUCGAUAGGUGGUCUGAGAGGACGAUCACCCAGACUGGGACUGAGACACGGCCCAGACUCCUACGGGAGGCAGC